rnacentral:lncRNA from 1 species
GACCAUUGAUCUCAUGUUCAUUUAUUUGGCUGAUUGUUUUGCUAGUCUCACCUUUGAGACCAUUUAUCUAGGGAAACCUUACAUUAAAAUAAAGCAGAUGUACGAGAUGAAGGAAGAGCUGGGAAGAGGCAAAUUUGGGGUGACUAAUCUGUGUGUAGAGAAAGCCACAGGACGAGCGUAUGCAUGCAAAUCCAUAGCAAAGAAGAAGCCGCAAAAAGUGGAGGAUGUUAGAAGAGAGGUCAUGAUUCUGCAGCAUCUUUCAGAGCAGCAUAACAUAGUGGAAUUCAAGGGAGCUUAUGAGGACGGGAAGAACAUGCACCUUGUCAUGGAGCUAUGCAGUGGGGAGGGAACUACUCGGAGCCUGAAGCCACCACAAUCAUCAGACAGAUUGUGAAUGUGGUUCACGUCUGCCAUUUCAUGGGUGUGAUGCAUCGAGACCUCAAGCCGGAGAAUUUCUUGUUCGCCACC